CCGUUAUAACAUUUUUUAAAGAUGAAGCACGGAAAUUUGUCUUAUUUUGAAAGAAUUGAAGAGCCAAUAUUGAAUACAAACGAAGAUUAGAUUGCUCCUUACAAUAGCAGGGCAACAUCCGCGUUUGUCAUUUCCGGUGCAUCAAAACCUCCCAAAAAAUCUGACAAAGAAUUGAAAGGAGCGACUGAGGUUUCCAAAUCAAAUCUCCGAGGCUGCGUUUGGUUGGAGGGAUAUCCCAGAACAAGGCGGGAUAUCCCUCCAAACAUAAUGCUUUUUGGAACAACCGGGUUGUUCCCGGAACAACCCGUUAAGCCGGGAAUAACCCGUUAAGCUUGUUCUCCCUAAAAGGGAGAACAAGCUGGAACAAAAAUUUUGGCCCUUUUUUGUUUUCUGGCCUUUUAAUUGUUUAUACUUUAUUUUAAUUAAUUUCAAAUAAAUUAAAUGAAUGCUCAAAUUUAAUAAAUAAAUAUAUUAGUAUAAGUAUUAUUUUUAUGAUAAUAUAUUUAUACUUAAAUUUUAUUAUAUAAUAUAAAUUAAUUAAAUUUGAUAUAUAUUUUAUUUUAUUAAGUUUUAUCAUUUAUAUAUUAAUAUUUAAUUAUUUUAUUUUAUAUUAAUUAUUAUAUACAUAAAAUUAUUUUUUCAUAUAUUAUAUAUAUAUUUUAACUUGUAUUGAAAUUUAUACUUAAAUUUUUAUGAUAAUAUAUUUAUACUUAAAUUUUAUUAUAUAAUAUAAAUUAAUUAAAUUUGAUAUAUUUUUUAUUUUAUUAAACUCUAUCAUUUAUACUUUAAUAUUUAAUUAUAUAUAUUUUUUUUAUUUGUAUUAAAAUUUAUACUAGUUAUUAAUUAAAAUAUAGGGAUAUUGUUAGUAUUAUACUUUAUUCAUUAAUAUAUUAUGAAUAAAUUAUAUAAAAUAAAUUAUUACAUAAAAUAAAUUAUUAUAUAUAAUAAAAUAAAAUAUAUUAUUUUAAAUUAGAUUCUUACAUAAAAUAUUAUAUUAUAAAUUACUAUAUGAAAUAAUUUUAUAAAUAAUUUUAUAUAAAAUAUACUAAUAUAAAUUAAUUAUUUUAUUUUUAAAAAUAUAUUUAGACGUUGUUCUAGACUUUUUAUCCAAACGCUAUUAAGGAUAUCCUCUAGAAUAUCCUCGAAUGCAUCCAAACAUAAAUUUACAAUUGUUCUAUCUUGUACCGAAAUAUUCCUUGUUCUCGGGAACAAUAAAAGUUGUUCUCCAAAAUUUAGUUCUCUAACCAAACGCAGCCCGAGAGUCCGAGAACGCCGACCACAGCCGCCGCCGCGAUCGCUCCGCUCGCCAGCCCAACCAAGAAGCUCCUCCACGCUCCAUCCUCCGCCGUACCCUGCGGCGGCGGCGCCGUGGGCAGCGGCGGCGCGCUCGGCUCGGUCGCUACGAACUCGGCCGCUCCGCGCACCGGCUCCGCCGAGCGAUCAUCGGGGGCGGCGCCGAGGGGCCACAGGACGCGCACGGCGACGCGGACGACGCAGGCGCCGCCGCGGCGGCGGCGGUGGAGGGGGAGGGGGAGGGGGAGAGCGAGGGCGUCGGCGGCGAGCAGGGGGAGGGAGGAGAGGGGGAGGGAGGCGGAGGCGAGGACGAGGGAGGGGCGGAAGGGGAGGCGGCGGGGGGAGAGGAUCUGGACGGUGAGGGAGGAGCUAGGGUUUCGGAGGAGGUGGGAGGAGAGGGGGAGGUGGAGAAGAGUUGCGGGGGGGUCUAGGGUUAGGGUUAGGGUUAGGGUUUUGGGGGAGCGCUUAUCGACCCACGCGACGAGCUUAAGCUUGCUUUUCAGGGUGUCGGGGUAGAGGACGGUGAGUUCGAGAGUGGCCUCCGCUGCCUCCUCCGACAUUUGUGUCUACUUCAACGGCGAAUCGCUGAGUCUGCGGCGUUUCGGG
rnacentral:lncRNA from 1 species